GGACAGUCGGCCGGUGCAGCUGCGUCCUAACUCACCCUCCUACGGACUUUCCAGUGAGCUGCUUGCCUCUACCGAACAAAAUAAACUCCAGUGGCCGUCAUGUCUUGAAUGUCUGUUUUCAGACCCAGCAGAUCGCCACACUGCUAAACACAGCACAGCAGCUUCUAGCCAAUCACACCACCAAUGCAAUGCAACAGGCAACAUACCGCCUUUUCGCCAAUUUAAUGAAAAACAAGAGGAAUGGUUCGAGUGGUGGCAACAGUAAGAAGACCAAGUAAUUGCUCACAAUGUACCAGAUUAACGGAUCCCAAGGACAGCGUGGCCACAGUAGCUGCCAAAGGGUGUCAUCAUGACACCGUAGGAUGACCCAAUGGAGACAGAGCCUUCGCCUCUUCCUACUGAUGGAGCUGCACCCACCCACACUGCAGCAGCUGAUGCCUUCUACAUCUUCGCAUAGGCCCAGAAGGUGGAUUUGUACCCUUCUGGGUAUUUCCCAGGGAUAUUUGCAUCAGAGUCCAGGGCAGAUGGCAGGGUAUGACUAGAAGUCUGACGUUCCCUGCUGCUACAGCUUCCAUUCCAUCUGAGCAUCCAUGCUCCUGCCUCCCCACCAUUGUUGAGCUCCCUAUAUGACGACAGUCUGUCGCUUCGGGGGGAGGGGGUGGGGCGAAUGUCAUGGCAUACAGUCAUGUGCCAGCAUGUCAAUCGAUCGGGAAUGAGAGAGAUGGCCGUGAGAAGACGUCAGCCAAUCACACACUGACUGACCCCUCUCCAGGACGACAAUGUGACAGCAGUGGCCACUAUGCGAAGAGGACGUAAGUGCUGCACCCAACUGGUCGCAGUCCAGUUCUACAGCAGCAGCUUCAAGACUAGCAACUUGGAAAGCGUCAACUCUAAUCACUUGCUUCUACUGUCUAUGUAACACAGACUUGGGAAUUGUUGUACUAAAGAGAUUUCUUAUUUUGUCUGUCGCCCUUUGCUUGCGACACAUCUGUGUAACACAAGUAUUAUAUUUUUCCACUUUAUAAUAAAAUUCAUUAAUACGA